rnacentral:rRNA from 1 species
UACGAAGGGGGCUAGCGUUGUUCGGAAUUACUGGGCGUAAAGGGCGCGUAGGCGGCCCGAUCAGUCAGAUGUGAAAGCCCCGGGCUCAACCUGGGAACUGCAUUUGAUACUGUCGGGCUUGAGUUCCGGAGAGGAUGGUGGAAUUCCCAGUGUAGAGGUGAAAUUCGUAGAUAUUGGGAAGAACACCGGUGGCGAAGGCGGCCAUCUGGACGGACACUGACGCUGAGGCGCGAAAAGCGUGGGGAGCAAACAGGG